AGCCGCGGCCCCUUCCUCUCGCAGCUGGUGCUGUGGGGCCGCGGAGCCGCGCGUCGCUGUCUCUAUGGCCCCGGAUCCGAGCGCAAAGCUGGGCCAGGCCUUUCUCACCACCAAGUCCCCCGGUCCUGCAUGACGGCUCUAGAGGGGCGCGGGCCAGGCCUCGGGCUGCGCGGGGUGCAAACCGGCCACCACGGAGUCGGGGACCAGCGCGGGGAGGGGGCCGCGUGGCGAACAGUGUUCCCCAGGAUCUGGGUCACGUCUCCCGGCGUCCGGCGGGAUCGAAGGAGAGCUUGUCCUCGAGCUGCAGCAGUAGAGACUGAGAAAACGGACCUCAGAAAACCAGGACUAGCUCUACUGUCGGGGGCAGGGUGACCCCAUCAGUAACCUACAACCCCUCUAGAACUUCACAACUCCCUCUCACCAUGGAGUUUGCAUUUGAUGCAGAAAGGCAUGUGAUCCCUCCCUCCUUCUGACCUCUUAGCUGGGGAUUCCAUGGCCACACAACCCUGUGACUCCAUGUCCCCCCGAUUCCAGGACCCCCCAUGGCCCCAUGAUUCCUUGACUCCUAUGACCUUAUGACCCCUGACCUUCCAAGUGACUUCCUUGGACUUUGACCCCUGUGACUGUGCUUCCCAUUCCCCGCCCCCACAACCUGUGACUCUGGCUCCCUUUGGGGGUCUUGUUAGUCUGGGCCUCCCCAGGAAGAUGUGGGGGAGGCUCUGGCCCCUCCUCCUCAGCAUCCUCACAGCAACUGCAGUCCCAGGACCCUCACUGCGGAGACCGUCUAGAGAACUAGAUGCCACCCCUCGGAUGACCAUACCCUAUGAAGAGCUCUCUGGGACCCGGCACUUCAAGGGCCAAGCCCAGAACUACUCAACACUGCUGCUGGAGGAGGCCUCAGCAAGGCUGCUGGUGGGAGCCCGAGGUGCCCUGUUCUCUCUCAGUGCCAACGACAUAGGAGAUGGGGCUCACAAAGAGAUCCACUGGGAAGCCUCCCCAGAGAUGCAAAGCAAAUGUCAUCAAAAAGGGAAAAACAACCAGACGGAGUGCUUUAACCAUGUGCGGUUCCUGCAGCGGCUCAAUUCUACCCACCUCUAUGCAUGUGGGACUCACGCCUUCCAGCCCCUCUGUGCAGCCAUUGAUGCUGAGGCCUUCACCUUGCCAACCAGCUUCGAGGAGGGGAAGGAGAAGUGUCCUUAUGACCCAGCCCGUGGCUUCACAGGCCUCAUCAUUGAUGGAGGCCUCUACACAGCCACUAGGUAUGAAUUCCGGAGCAUUCCUGACAUCCGCCGGAGCCGCCACCCACACUCCCUGAGAACUGAGGAGACACCAAUGCAUUGGCUCAAUGAUGCGGAGUUUGUGUUCUCCGUCCUCGUGCGGGAGAGCAAGGCCAGUGCAGUGGGUGAUGAUGACAAGGUGUACUACUUCUUCACGGAGCGUGCCACUGAGGAGGGCUCUGGCAGCUUCACUCAGAGCCGCAGCAGUCACCGUGUGGCCCGUGUGGCUCGUGUCUGCAAGGGAGACCUGGGAGGGAAGAAGAUCCUGCAGAAGAAGUGGACUUCCUUCCUGAAAGCCCGUCUCAUCUGCCACAUUCCACUGUAUGAGACACUGCGUGGGGUCUGCAGCCUGGAUGCUGAAACCUCAAGCCGUACACACUUCUAUGCAGCCUUCACGCUGAGCACACAGUGGAAGACCCUGGAGGCCUCAGCCAUCUGCCGCUAUGACCUGGCAGAGAUCCAGGCUGUCUUUGCAGGACCCUAUAUGGAAUACCAGGAUGGUUCCCGGCGCUGGGGUCGCUAUGAGGGUGGGGUGCCUGAGCCCCGGCCUGGCUCGUGUAUCACAGAUUCAUUGCGCAGCCAAGGCUACAAUUCAUCCCAAGACUUGCCAUCCCUGGUCCUGGACUUUGUAAAGUUGCACCCACUGAUGGCUCGGCCCGUUGUGCCCACACGUGGACGGCCCCUGCUGCUCAAGCGCAACAUACGCUACACACACCUUACAGGGACACCUGUCACCACGCCUGCUGGACCUACCUAUGACCUGCUCUUUCUGGGCACAGCUGAUGGCUGGAUCCACAAGGCCGUAGUCCUGGGCUCUGGGAUGCACAUUAUUGAAGAGACACAAGUGUUCAGGGAGUCCCAGUCUGUGGAAAAUCUAGUCAUCUCUCUAUUGCAGCACAGCCUCUAUGUGGGGGCUCCUAGCGGAGUCAUCCAGCUACCACUCUCCAGCUGCUCCCGCUACCGAUCCUGCUAUGACUGCAUCUUGGCCCGAGACCCCUACUGUGGCUGGGACCCUGGCACCCAUGCCUGCGCAGCAGCCACCACCAUAGCCAACAGGUCCCAGGGAAGCAGGACAGCACUGAUACAGGACAUAGAGAGAGGAAAUCGAGGCUGUGAGAGCAGCAGGGAUACAGGGCCACCACCACCACUGAAGACCCGCUCUGUGCUCCGGGGUGAUGAUGUCCUCCUGCCCUGUGACCAGCCAUCCAACCUGGCCCGGGCCUUGUGGCUACUCAAUGGGAGCAUGGGCCUGAGCGAUGGGCAGGGUGGCUACCGUGUGGGCGUGGACGGGCUGCUGGUUACAGAUGCACAGCCUGAGCACAGUGGCAACUAUGGCUGCUAUGCCGAGGAAAAUGGCCUCCGCACCCUGCUGGCCUCCUAUAGUCUCACAGUCCGGCCAGCCACUCCUGCCCCAGCUCCAAAAGCCCCUGCCACACCUGGGGCACAGCUGGCACCUGAUGUGAGACUGCUCUAUGUGCUAGCCAUUGCCGCGCUUGGUGGCCUCUGCCUCAUCCUGGCCUCCUCCCUCCUCUAUGUGGCCUGUCUGCGGGAAGGCAGACGAGGGCGCCGACGGAAAUACUCACUGGGUCGGGCCAGCCGGGCAGGAGGAUCUGCGGUGCAACUGCAGACAGUCUCAGGCCAGUGUCCUGGAGAGGAAGAUGAGGGUGAUGAUGAGGGGGCUGGGGGCCUGGAGGGCAGCUGUCUCCAGAUCAUCCCUGGGGAGGGAGCCCCAGCCCCACCACCCCCACCGCCCCCACCGCCACCGGCUGAGCUGACCAAUGGCUUGGUGGCACUGCCCAGCCGGCUGCGGAGGAUGAAUGGCAAUAGCUAUGUGCUUCUGAGGCAGAGCAACAAUGGAGUACCAGCAGGGCCCUGCUCCUUCGCCGAGGAACUCAGCCGCAUCCUGGAAAAAAGGAAGCACACGCAGCUCGUGGAGCAGCUAGAUGAGAGCUCUGUCUGAGCCCAGCCUCCCAGAACAAAUGCUCUUCCAAGCCAGCCUAUCUGUCCCAGGCUGGGCCACUGCCUCCCUAACACAGCCACCCUCCCUUCAUUACCCCCACUCCAUACCCUUCUCCCAACUUUUUGAUGUCCCUGUAGGGCUGGCCAGUCAGGCCCAGCCAAAGCCCCCUCCUCAGUCUCCACAGACCCACAUGUGAGCAGCCCAGGCCCAUCGGUGCUCCUCAGAGGCAGGGCUCUGCAGGUCCAUAUGGGCUCAAUGUCACCACCCUCUGCAUGGCCCUGUGUGCUGGAUGGUCCUGAAACCAGACAAGACCUCUGCCAGCCACCUAAGCCCUGCGUACAUUCACAUGCACACAUGGAAGAAUGUUUAUCGGCUGGGCUGCAGUGCCCCCACCCUCACCUUCUCCUGGUGCAUUCUUGUUUCAUCCCUGCUUCUGGACUUGGGGUACCCUCCCAAUUGCCACAUCCUAUCUGGUCCUCUUCCCCAGCCCCAUGUGGUGACCUCUUUGUCAAGAGCUUGGGAACGGGCCAGCCUGGGGAGGUAAGACUGCAUCACUCCCCUCCUCUCCCUUCCUGUGUGGCCCUUGUGAAUCAGCCUCCCCACUCUCCUUGGUCAUUCUCAAGAGUAUGAGAGACAGAGCUCCAGGCAUGUCCCAUCCCCAUGCACAUGUGGUAACACACACCUGUAUCACACAUGUGCUUACAUUUCCACUCACAUGCACCUCUGAGCCUCCCUUGCUGUCUUGGACCUGUCUGUUGGGUUUAGUCCGUGGACAUUUCAGAGGGAGAUCCCCCUCCCAUUUAACUGUCCUCACAGGCCCUUGCCUAGGAUGGAUGACCAACACUGCACUCAAUGAGCCAGCCUCUCUUUUGGGGGAAUCAAGCAUUUGCUUCCUCUAGACUACAGCAGGGAAAGGGAGGAGAAAUCUGAUGUCUCAACUGGCACAUGAAGCCCAUUCUUGGAACUAUGCAAAGGGCAGAGGCUGGGAGUUUGGACGCUUAGCUCCUACCCCUGUCCUACCUCACCGGGGCACUUUCAGGGGCCAGGGGCCUCUGAAGUCUCUAGGCCUAUAUGGGACAAUCAAUUCUGACUGAGCUCCCCCAUUCCCCUCGGGUGAGGAUGACUGUUAUUUUUGUAGCUGAGAACGUGGAAUCCCACGGGUUUUUACUGCCCUUCACCCAACCUCUCCCACCUCCACCCCACAAUGAAUGUAUUUAUUGUGAGAAUGGCUACACUUCUUUAGGAAUGCCCCCACUUACAACCAGGUGGGUGGAACAGGCAUGUGACAGAGUGGGGAGCCUGGGCUCAGCUCCUCCCCCUGCCGUUGGUUAAUAAACACCCUUUUUCCCCACA